rnacentral:rRNA from 1 species
UUGGAGGUUGUGGCCUUGAGCCGUGGCUUUCGGAGCUAACGCGUUAAGUAGACCGCCUGGGGAGUACGGUCGCAAGAUUAAAACUCAAAUGAAUUGACGGGGGCCCGCACAAGCGGUGGAGCAUGUGGUUUAAUUCGAUGCAACGCGAAGAACCUUACCUACUCUUGACAUCCAGAGAACUUUCCAGAGAUGGAUUGGUGCCUUCGGGAACUCUGAGACAGGUGCUGCAUGGCUGUCGUCAGCUCGUGUUGUGAAAUGUUGGGUUAAGUCCCGCAACGAGCGCAACCCUUAUCCUUGUUUGCCAGCGAGUAAUGUCGGGAACUCCAGGGAGACUGCCGGUGAUAAACCGGAGGAAGGUGGGGACGACGUCAAGUCAUCAUGGCCCUUACGAGUAGGGCUACACACGUGCUACAAUGGCGCAUACAGAGGGCGGCCAACUUGCGAAAGUGAGCGAAUCCCAAAAAGUGCGUCGUAGUCCGGAUUGGAGUCUGCAACUCGACUCCAUGAAGUCGGAAUCGCUAGUAAUCGUGGAUCAGAAUGCCACGGUGAAUACGUUCCCGGGCCUUGUACACACCGCCCGUCACACCAUGGGAGUGGGCUGCAAAAGAAGUAGGUAGUUUAACCUUCGGGGGGACGCUUACCACUUUGUGGUUCAUGACUGGGGUGAAGUCGUAACAAGGUAGCGCUAGGGGAACCUGGCGCUGGAUCACCUCCUUAAACGAUGAU